rnacentral:lncRNA from 1 species
CAGAACAAUCAUAACAUAGAGUGGUGCCCCAGAAAGAAAGAAGAAGAGAGAAAGGCUACAGAAGAAGUCGUGAAAGCAGCCGCGCAAGCACCCAAAACAUUCCACCACACAACUUUUUACCCGCACCCAAGUUUUUACCCCAACCAGCCUAGCUUCGCCAAUUUCCAGCAACCAAUGAGCUGGCCUCUUCCACCACACAUACAACCAUACCACCAAACAAUCCCACAACAUGCCAACCCAAAUCCAACUCAGAAACCUCAAGAAACACUACCUCCACC